rnacentral:tRNA from 1 species
GCCCGGGUGGUGGAAUAGGUAGACACGCAGGACUUAAAAUCCUGUGAGCAGAAAUGUUCGUACGGGUUCGAUUCCCGUCUCGGGUA